rnacentral:rRNA from 1 species
AAAGAGCUCGUAGGUGGUUUGUCGCGUUGUUCGUGAAAUCUCACAGCUCAACUGUGGGCGUGCGGGCGAUACGGGCAGACUGGAGUACUGCAGGGGAGACUGGAAUUCCUGGUGUAGCGGUGGAAUGCGCAGAUAUCAGGAGGAACACCGGUGGCGAAGGCGGGUCUCUGGGCAGUAACUGACGCUGAGGAGCGAAAGCGUGGGGAGCGAACAGGAUUAGAUACCCCUGU